GGACUACUAGGGUUUCUAAUCCCAUUUGCUCCCCUGGCUUUCGUUCCUCAGCGUCAGUUAUGGCCCAGUAAGUCGCCUACGCCACCGGUGUUCUUCCUGAUAUCUACGCAUUUCACCGCUACACCAGGAAUUCCACUUACCUCUACCAUACUCCAGUCUGCCAGUAUCCAAUGCACUCCCAGGGUUGGGCCCUGAUCUUUAACAUCGGACUUAGCAAACCGCCUACGAACUCUUUACGCCCAAUAAAUCCGGACAACGCUCGCAUCCUACGUCUUACCGCGGCUGCUGGCAC
rnacentral:rRNA from 1 species